rnacentral:lncRNA from 1 species
AAUUACACCAUGGCACAUGAACUAUACACCUUGCACUAUUUUUCCACAUAAUCGCCACUGACAUUGAGACAUUUGUCGUAGCGUGCAAUCAGUUUGAAGAAACCACUCUGGUAAAACUCGGUGCCCUGCGAUGCAAGGAGUUGUCGCACAGCCUGCUCCACUUCAACAUUGUUUUGGAAGUGACGUCCCGAAAGUGUGGCUUUCGAUGGAGGGAACAGGUGUGCU